UGAGGAAUAUUGCGCAAUGGGCGAAAGCCUGACGCAGCGACGCCGCGUGGACGAUGAAGGUCUUCGGAUCGUAAAGUCCUUUUCUGCGUGACGAGGAAGGACGGUAGCGCAGGAAUAAGUGUCGGCUAACUACGUGCCAGCAGCCGCGGUAACACGUAGGACGCAAGCGUUAUCCGGAAUUACUGGGCGUAAAGGGCGUGUAGGCGGCACGGUAAGUCAACCGUGAAAGCUCCCGGCUAAACUGGGAGAGGUCGGAUGAGACUGCCGAGCUAGAGGGUCGUAGAGGGGUGUGGAAUUCCGGGUGUAGUGGUGAAAUGCGUAGAGAUCCGGAGGAACACCAGAGGCAAGGGCGGCACCCCUGGACGACACCAGACGCUGAGACGCGACAGCACGGGGGAGCGAACGGGGAUUAGAAAACCCCCGGUG
rnacentral:rRNA from 1 species